AUUAAAACAGAGUGCAAAACAAAAUCAAAAUUCGCCCCCACUGCAAAAUUAGUUUAAAAUGUCCGCAGCGCAGGAGCUAAUUUUUAUUUUCGGAUUGCAAAGAAAGACUACAUUGAACAUAUUUAACGAAAGGCUAUUGGAAAUGGCUCAUUCGUACCGCAGUUUGCCGUCUCCCGCCAUGAUCACCACCUAACGGUUUGCUCCCUGCCGCAAAACUCAAGUGUAUGCUGAAUCGGAAGCUCCAUGCUACGAUAAACCGAAGUGUUUACAGUCGAGUUUGCAGUGACCCGCAGUGAUCCCCCCUACGGGGAAUGUCGAUCUUAUUGAAGCUUUCCUUUUUCCUGUUGGAUCAGCUAAUCGAAAAAAUGAGUCAGUAUGGUUCCUGAAAGACCAACUUGUACUGUGGAACGGGAAGUUGACCAUCCUUGACCUGAACCUGGAUGUUCAUCAGCGC